rnacentral:rRNA from 1 species
GCGACAUACGUGAGGAGAGGUCGGGGAAUACGGUGGGGGCGGGGGUGUAGCGGAAGUACGGGGCGGAAAGUGGGGUAAGGCGGCCGGGCAAGUCGAGGGUGAAAGCCCCGAGCUUAACGUGGGAACUGCGCUCGAAAGUACGUGGCUGGAGUGUGGGAGAGGAAGGUGGAAUUCCAGGUGUAGCGGUGAAAUGCGUAGAGAUCUGGAGGAACACCGAUGGCGAAGGCAGCCUUCUGGGCCAACACUGACGCUCAUGCACGAAAGCGUGGGGAGCAAACAGGAUUAGAUACCCUGGUAGUC